UUUAGCAGUAAUUGGUUUUUUUUUUUUUUUAAAAGAGACUUUAUUAACAGUUUAGAAACAAUCUUCUCCCUUUUCCACAUUUUUCUCUCCACACAGACUUGCACAUGAAAACAUGCAAAAGGCAAAACCAGUGAAGAUGUGAACACAAACAAAAAAAAAAUAUCCAUAAUCCACUUUUCAGUUGAGUGAAAUUCCUUUGAUGCCAGGCAGCAUACUAAUCAUACUGAAGUCCAUAAAUACAUGAGAUGUUUGGCAUAGAUGAUGCUCACAGGUACAAACGGCUGCUUUGGGAAUCAUGGAAAAAGUUGAACCAAUAAGAUGUGACAAACUGCUAAGCAACAAUUCAGCAGGAACUUCACAUUUCCUCAAUACACAUUUCUGGACGCAAAGCAAACUUGUCUUGAGUC